CAUUAAGAAGCUAUGAAUCAGCGUUAGCCUUUUAAGCUAAAGAAAGAGGCAAAAGGCCUCCUUAAUGG
rnacentral:tRNA from 1 species